UUGAACGCUGGCGGCAGGCCUAACACAUGCAAGUCGAGCGGUAACACAGAGAGCUUGCUCUCGGGUGACGAGCGGCGGACGGGUGAGUAAUGUCUGGGAAACUGCCUGAUGGAGGGGGAUAACUACUGGAAACGGUAGCUAAUACCGCAUAACGUCGCAAGACCAAAGUGGGGGACCUUCGGGCCUCAUGCCAUCAGAUGUGCCCAGAUGGGAUUAGCUAGUAGGUGGGGUAACGGCUCACCUAGGCGACGAUCCCUAGCUGGUCUGAGAGGAUGACCAGCCACACUGGAACUGAGACACGGUCCGGACUCCUACGGGAGGCAGCAGUGGGGAAUAUUGCACAAUGGGCGCAAGCCUGAUGCAGCCAUGCCGCGUGUGUGAAGAAGGCCUUCGGGUUGUAAAGCACUUUCAGCGGGGAGGAAGGCGGUGAGGUUAAUAACCUCAUCGAUUGACGUUACCCGCAGAAGAAGCACCGGCUAACUCCGUGCCAGCAGCCGCGGUAAUACGGAGGGUGCAAGCGUUAAUCGGAAUUACUGGGCGUAAAGCGCACGCAGGCGGUCUGUCAAGUCGGAUGUGAAAUCCCCGGGCUCAACCUGGGAACUGCAUUCGAAACUGGCAGGCUAGAGUCUUGUAGAGGGGGGUAGAAUUCCAGGUGUAGCGGUGAAAUGCGUAGAGAUCUGGAGGAAUACCGGUGGCGAAGGCGGCCCCCUGGACGAAGACUGACGCUCAGGUGCGAAAGCGUGGGGAGCAAACAGGAUUAGAUACCCUGGUAGUCCACGCCGUAAACGAUGUCGAUUUGGAGGUUGUGCCCUUGAGGCGUGGCUUCCGGAGCUAACGCGUUAAAUCGACCGCCUGGGGAGUACGGCCGCAAGGUUAAAACUCAAAUGAAUUGACGGGGGCCCGCACAAGCGGUGGAGCAUGUGGUUUAAUUCGAUGCAACGCGAAGAACCUUACCUGGUCUUGACAUCCACAGAACUUUCCAGAGAUGGAUUGGUGCCUUCGGGAACUGUGAGACAGGUGCUGCAUGGCUGUCGUCAGCUCGUGUUGUGAAAUGUUGGGUUAAGUCCCGCAACGAGCGCAACCCUUAUCCUUUGUUGCCAGCGGUUCGGCCGGGAACUCAAAGGAGACUGCCAGUGAUAAACUGGAGGAAGGUGGGGAUGACGUCAAGUCAUCAUGGCCCUUACGACCAGGGCUACACACGUGCUACAAUGGCAUAUACAAAGAGAAGCGACCUCGCGAGAGCAAGCGGACCUCAUAAAGUAUGUCGUAGUCCGGAUUGGAGUCUGCAACUCGACUCCAUGAAGUCGGAAUCGCUAGUAAUCGUAGAUCAGAAUGCUACGGUGAAUACGUUCCCGGGCCUUGUACACACCGCCCGUCACACCAUGGGAGUGGGUUGCAAAAGAAGUAGGUAGCUUAACCUUCGGGAGGGCGCUUACCACUUUGUGAUUCAUGACUGGGGUG
rnacentral:rRNA from 1 species